GUGCUCACUCUGGCAGCACAUAUACUAAAAUUGGAACGAUACAGAGAAGAUUAGCAUGGCCCCUGCUCAAGGAUGACACGCAAAUUCAUGAAGCGUUCCACAUUUAA
rnacentral:snRNA from 1 species